UCGCUUUGGGAGGAGCUCGCUUACUAUCAGCUUGUUGGUAGGGUAAUGGCCUACCAAGGCUAUGACGGUUAGGGGGUGUGAGAGCAUGACCCCCAGCAUUGGCACUGAAACACUGGCCAAACACCUACGGGUGGCUGCAGUCGAGAAUCUUCCACAAUGGGGGAAACCCUGAUGGAGCGAUGCUGCGUGCGGGAUGAAGGCCUUCGGGUUGUAAACCGCUUUUGUAGGGGACGAAAUUUUUGACGGUACCCUUUCGAAUAAGAGGUUGCUAACUCUGUGCCAGCAGCAGCGGUAAUACAGAGACCUCAAGCGUUAUCCGGACUUACUGGGCGUAAAGCGUCUGUAGGGGGUUUAUUAAGUUCCAAGUAAAAUUUCAAGGCUCAACUUUGAAUUCGCUUGGAAAACUAAUAAACUGGAGUCCAGCAGAGGUGCAUGGAACUUGUGGUGUAGGAGUGAAAUCCGUUGAUAUCACAAGGAACACCAAAGGCGAAGGCAUUGCACUGGGCUAGCACUGACCCUGAGAGACGAAAGCGUGGGGAGCAAAACGGAUUAGAUACCCGUGUAGUCCACGCCCUAAACGAUGAAUGCUAAAUGUUCGGGGAUUCGACCCCCUGGGUGUUACAGCUAACGCGUUAAGCAUUCCGCCUGGGAAGUACGGCCGCAAGGCUAAAACUCAAAGGAAUAGACGGGGAUCCGCACAAGCGGUGGAGCGUCUGGUUUAAUUCGACAGUAAGCGUGGUACCUCACCAGGGUUUGACAUCCCUUGACAGCCUUGGAAACAAGGUUUCCUUCGGGCAAGGUGACAGGUGCUGCAUGGUCGUCGUCAGUUCGUGCCGUGAGGUGUUCCGUUAAGUCGGGAAACGAACGAAACCCCUAUUGCAUGUUACAAUUUCUCAUGCAAGACUGCCCGGAUAUACUGGGAGGAAGGUGGGGAUGACGUCAGAUCUGCAUGGUCCUUAUACCCUGGGCGACACAGGCGCUACAAUGGCAGAGACAAAGGGUUGCAAAACCGCAAGGUGAAGCUAAUCCCAAAAACUUUGUCUAAGUUCGGAUUGAAGGCUGCAAUUCGCCUUCAUGAAGCUGGAAUCGCUAGUAAUCGUGAAUCAGCCACGUCACGGUGAAUAUGUUCCCGGAUCUUGUACUCACCGCCCGUCACACCAAGAGAGUUGGUAGCUCCCGAAGCGUCCCGUUUUAGCGGGGC
rnacentral:rRNA from 1 species